GGAGAGGUGUCCGAGCGGCUGAAGGAGCACGACUGGAAAUCGUGUAGGCGUUAACAGCGUCUCGAGGGUUCAAAUCCCUCCCUCUCCGCCA
rnacentral:tRNA from 2 species